GCACUUGUGGCCCAACUGGAUAGGGCAUUAGAUUCCGAUUCUAAAGGUUGUGGGUUCGACUCCCGCCAAGUGCGCCA
rnacentral:tRNA from 1 species